rnacentral:rRNA from 1 species
AGUGAACGCUGGCGGUAGGCCUAACACAUGCAAGUCGAACGGCAGCACAGUAAGAGCUUGCUCUUACGGGUGGCGAGUGGCGGACGGGUGAGGAAUACAUCGUAAUCUACUUUUUCGUGGGGGAUAACGUAGGGAAACUUACGCUAAUACCGCAUACGACCUACGGGUGAAAGCAGGGGAUCUUCGGACCUUGCGCGAUUGAAUGAGCCGAUGUCGGAUUAGCUAGUUGGCGGGGUAAAGGCCCACCAAGGCGACGAUCCGUAGCUGGUCUGAGAGGAUGGUCGGCCGCCCGGGAACUGAGACACGGUCCAGACUCCUACGGGAGGCAGCAGUGGGGAAUAUUGGACAAUGGGCGCAAGCCUGAUCCAGCCAUACCGCGUGGGUGGAGAAGGCCUUCGGGUUGUAAAGCCCUUUUGUUGGGAAAGAAAAGCAGCAGGUUAAUACCCCGCUGUUCUGACGGUACCCAAAGAAUAAGCACCGGCUAACUUCGUG